AAGUCGUAACAAGGUUUCCGUAGGUGAACCUGCGGAAGGAUCAUUACAGUAUAUCGGAUUCACAUUCGUAUACCCCACCCUGCGUACCCGACAACCGUUGCUUCCGCGGGACCUGGCUCCGCCACGUCGGCCCCCCCCCCCUCCGGGCUGGUGAGCUCCCGCGGGAGGAAAAGCAAUACUCCUUUUUGUCAGUGAAUGUCUGUAUGAACAGUUUGUAAUAAACGUUAAAACUUUCAACAACGGAUCUCUUGGUUCUC
rnacentral:misc_RNA from 1 species